UCCGUUGUAGUCUACUUGUAGCUGGUUAGGAUACUCGGCUCUCACCCGAGAGACCCGGGUUCGAGUCCCGGCAACGGAA
rfam:Oryza sativa (indica cultivar-group) chromosome 7, whole genome shotgun sequence.